CUUCCUUCAGCCGGCAAAACCUAAAGACACCGGUUAAAAAUCCGAUUUAUCUUCCACGUCCCACUUUGCCUUCCAUCUAUUACUGCUUCAUUAAUGUGAAUAACCUCACAAUUUCGCUACCGUAUUCACUUUCCUCCGUCUCUCCCUUUUCUAUAUAAUCGAUUGGAUGAUCGCCUUUAAACCAUUGGAUCAUCGUCCGUUUCAGUAUGCCCCUGAUUUUCAGAAAUACCUUUCUUCUCUUCUGAGCAGCAUAUCUGACGUCAGAGAUGUGGGCGAAGCUCUCAAACGAUUUACAUUUAUUCAGAUACAACGGCUGCGGAAACGUUUGCAUUGAAAAAAAUUCUUCCUGUAGAAAAAGUCAGCAGCUGGGGCUGAGACAGUAGGAUCUCUUUCGUGUUGAUCAUACAAGCUUGCGAUAUAGAGCUCGAAAACAAAGCCAAAGAAGUGGCAGAGCUGAAAACAGAGAGGCUGACCUAGAGAGAAUUGCGAGGCUGAAACAUGCAGAGGCAGACAUAUCCUCAUCUAAAAGACAACGAAGCAAAGCGGAGGCAUAUUGGUCGAUCAUUUGUAACAUCAGUAUUUGAUUUGCUAAGGCCAUCGUAUGUUCAAGUUGACACCAAAGAAUGAAUACUUAUGUGUACCUUUUGUAAGCCAUGACCAAACUCUCAAGCUUCAAAAGUACAGUUUGAUGCUACAACCGCCUGGUGACAGUGCACCAGUACUGGACGGAUCCUAGGAUUGUCUAGGAUCACUUUGGUUCUUGCUGGGUAUUUUGGUGCUGUAGAAUCAUUGUCUGACAAGAGCUGCAUCACAUAUAACAUGUGUUGAUGAAUGAUAAAACGGAAGAUGUUGACGACGACUUAGAUGAGGACUUUCAUGGGGAUGACAUGCCUGCAUCUGACUGCAAUUUGACUACUUCGUUAUCAUCGACGCUUUAAAAAAAAAUUGCAGUCAAUUGAGUACACUGGCAGUCAGGGAUAAAUUUAAGGUGAUAUCAUAAAUUUUAAGAUCAUGGUUCCGGAAAGGAGUAAGAGCGUUCUCUGGUUUUAGUAUGGUUUGUUGAUGUUAUGGUGUGGUUAGUUGAAUGAUAUAUUAUGGUUAGUCACAGGCCUGUUCUUGGAUUCAUCGUAAUUUAAUAAAUACAUGUGUUUUCUUAAGAUAGAUGGGAAGUUUGGAGGUUAUAAAAGCUAAAACAACAGCAGAGACAAGAGUAGAGCAAGUAGCAAUUUCUUUGGAUAAAUAUUCAUGCCGUAAUUUGCAUCAUUCAUUUAAUCUGUUCCAGCCCUGGAAGUUUGGAACUACAUUCGUAAAGUUCCGACGAAACCGAUGAUUUUCUGAGACCAGAAGCCAAGAUAAAAAAGGGAUUCAAGUUUUGGUGGAUAUAGAAAGAAAAUAUUCAGAGGUUUUCAAUACGUUUGAUGCAUAGUAACUUAUUUUUGUUGUGUAGGAGAGAAUGAAAAACAUAUAUAUGAAAUGUGAAAUGUUAUGACCGCAUGUCAAUUUGUGUUUUAACAUAAACUAG